rnacentral:tRNA from 1 species
AGUUUAAUAGUCAAUCAUGAUUUUAAAUUGCAAAUUUAAAGGUAAAUAAAAUUUUUAAGCUU